rnacentral:rRNA from 1 species
UACGUAGGGUGCGAGCGUUGUCCGGAAUUACUGGGCGUAAAGAGCUCGUAGGUGGUUUGUCGCGUUGUUCGUGAAAACUCACAGCUUAACUGUGGGCGUGCGGGCGAUACGGGCAGACUGGAGUACUGCAGGGGAGACUGGAAUUCCUGGUGUAGCGGUGGAAUGCGCAGAUAUCAGGAGGAACACCGGUGGCGAAGGCGGGUCUCUGGGC